CCUACGGGCGGCUGCAGUGGGGAAUAUUGGACAAUGGGGGGAACCCUGAUCCAGCCAUGCCGCGUGUGUGAAGAAGGCCCUCGGGUUGUAAAGCACUUUCAGGGAGGAAGAACGCCUGGUGGUUAAUACCCAUCAGGAAAGACAUCACUCACAGAAGAAGCACCGGCUAACUCCGUGCCAGCAGCCGCGGUAAUACGGAGGGUGCGAGCGUUAAUCGGAAUUACUGGGCGUAAAGCGCGCGUAGGUGGCUUGAUAAGCCGGUUGUGAAAGCCCCGGGCUCAACCUGGGAACGGCAUCCGGAACUGUCAAGCUAGAGUGCAGGAGAGGAAGGUAGAAUUCCCGGUGUAGCGGUGAAAUGCGUAGAGAUCGGGAGGAAUACCAGUGGCGAAGGCGGCCUUCUGGACUGACACUGACACUGAGGUGCGAAAGCGUGGGUAGCAAACAGGAUUAGAUACCCCAGUAGUC
rnacentral:rRNA from 1 species